rnacentral:rRNA from 1 species
CUCCUACGGGAGGCAGCAGUAAGGAAUAUUGGUCAAUGGACGCAAGUCUGAACCAGCCAUGCCGCGUGCAGGAAGACGGCCCUACGGGUUGUAAACUGCUUUUGCAGGGGAAUAAACCUCGAUACGUGUAUCGAGCUGAAUGUACUCUGAGAAUAAGGAUCGGCUAACUCCGUGCCAGCAGCCGCGGUAAUACGGAGGAUCCAAGCGUUAUCCGGAUUUAUUGGGUUUAAAGGGUGCGUAGGUGGCCUGUUAAGUCAGGGGUGAAAGACGGUAGCUUAACUAUCGCAGUGCCCUUGAUACUGAUGGGCUUGAAUAAACUAGAGGUAGGCGGAAUGUGACAAGUAGCGGUGAAAUGCAUAGAUAUGUCACAGAACACCAAUUGCGAAGGCAGCUUACUAUGGUUUUAUUGACACUGAGGCACGAAAGCGUGGGGAUCAAACAGGAUUAGAUACCCUGGUAGUCCACGCCCUAAACGAUGAAUACUCGAUGUUGGCGAUAUACGGUCAGCGUCUAAGCGAAAGCGUUAAGUAUUCCACCUGGGGAGUACGCCCGCAAGGGUGAAACUCAAAGGAAUUGACGGGGGCCCGCACAAGCGGAGGAGCAUGUGGUUUAAUUCGAUGAUACGCGAGGAACCUUACCCGGGCUUGAAAGUUAGUGAAUAAAGCAGAGACGCUUUAGUCCUUCGGGACACGAAACUAGGUGCUGCAUGGCUGUCGUCAGCUCGUGCCGUGAGGUGUUGGGUUAAGUCCCGCAACG